rnacentral:rRNA from 1 species
GAUGAACGCUGGCGGCGUGCCUAAUACAUGCAAGUCGAGCGAACAGUCGAGGAGCUUGCUCCUCUGACGUUAUCGGCGGACGGGUGAGUACCACGUGGUUAACCUACCUAUAAGACUGGGAUAACUUCGGGAAACCGGAGCUAAUACCGGAUAAUAUAUUGAACCGCAUGGUUCAAUAGUGAAAGACGGUUUUGCUGUCACUUAUAGAUUGAUCCGCGCCGCAGUAGCUAGUUGGUAAGGUAACGGCUUACCAAGCCGACGAUGCGUAGCCGACCUGAGAGGGAGAACGGCCAGACUGGAACUGAGACAGGGUCCAGACUCCUGCGGGGGGAAGCAGUAGGGAAUCUUCCGCGAUGGGGGAAAGCCGGACGGUGCAACACCGCGUGAGGGAUGAAGGUCUUCGGAUGGUAAAACUCUGUUAGUAGGAAGGAAGAAAUGUGUAAGUAACUAUGCACGUCUUGACGGUACCUAAUCAGAAAGCCACGGCUAACUACGUG